rnacentral:rRNA from 1 species
UCUAAUACCGGAUAUGACCACAGCAUGCAUGCGUUGUGGUGGAAAGAUUUAUCGGUGCAGGAUGGGCCCGCGGCCUAUCAGCUUGUUGGUGGGGUAAUGGCCUACCAAGGCGACGACGGGUAGCCGACCUGAGAGGGUGACCGGCCACACUGGGACUGAGACACGGCCCAGACUCCUACGGGAGGCAGCAGUGGGGAAUAUUGCACAAUGGGCGGAAGCCUGAUGCAGCGACGCCGCGUGAGGGAUGAAGGCCUUCGGGUUGUAAACCCUCUUUCAGCAGGGACGAAGCGUGAGUGACGGUACCUGCAGAAGAAGCACCGGCUAACUACGUGCCAGCAGCCGCGGUAAUACGUAGGGUGCGAGCGUUGUCCGGAAUUACUGGGCGUAAAGAGUUCGUAGGCGGUUUGUCGCGUCGUUUGUGAAAACCCGGGGCUCAACUUCGGGCUUGCAGGCGAUACGGGCAGACUUGAGUGUUUCAGGGGAGACUGGAAUUCCUGGUGUAGCGGUGAAAUGCGCAGAUAU